rnacentral:rRNA from 1 species
AUUGAACGCUGGCGGCAUGCCUUACACAUGCAAGUCGAACGGCAGCACGGGAGCAAUCCUGGUGGCGAGUGGCGAACGGGUGAGUAAUAUAUCGGAACGUGCCCAGUCGUGGGGAUAACGUAGCGAAAGCUACGCUAAUACCGCAUACGAUCUAUGGAUGAAAGCGGGGGAUCGCAAGACCUCGCGCGAUUGGAGCGGCCGAUAUCAGAUUAGGUAGUUGGUGAGGUAAAGGCUCACCAAGCCGACGAUCUGUAGCUGGUCUGAGAGGACGACCAGCCACACUGGGACUGAGACACGGUCCAGACUCCUACGGGAGGCAGCAGUGGGGAAUUUUGGACAAUGGACGCAAGUCUGAUCCAGCCAUUCCGCGUGCAGGAUGAAGGCCCUCGGGUUGUAAACUGGCUUUUGUACGGAACGAAAAGGUUUCUCUUAAUACGAGGAGCUCAUGACGGUACCGUAAGAAUAAGCACCGGCUAACUACGUGCCAG